rnacentral:rRNA from 1 species
UACGAAGGGGGCUAGCGUUGCUCGGAAUCACUGGGCGUAAAGCGCACGUAGGCGGAUUGCUAAGUCAGGGGUGAAAUCCUGGAGCUCAACUCCAGAACUGCCUUUGAUACUGGCGAUCUUGAGUCCGGGAGAGGUGAGUGGAACUUCGAGUGUAGAGGUGAAAUUCGUAGAUAUUCGCAAGAACACCAGUGGCGAAGGCGGCUCGCUGGCCCGAUACUGACGCUGAGGUGCGAAAGCGUGGGGAGCAAACAGG